rnacentral:rRNA from 1 species
AGAACACCCAUGGUGAAGACAGCUUACCAAACUAGCACUGACGCUCAGGCACGAAAGCGUGGGGAGCCAACAGGAUUAGAUACCCUGGUAGUCCACGCCGUAAACGUUGAUCACUCGUUGUUGGCAAUACACCGUCAGCGACUAAGCAAAAGCAUUAAGUGAUCCACCUGGGGAGUACGAUCGCAAGGUUGAAACUCAAAGGAAUUGACGGGGGCCCGCACAAGCGGAGGAGCAUGUGGUUUAAUUCGAUGAUACGCGAGGAACCUUACCCGGGCUUAAAUGUAGCGUGCAUUGGUGUGAAAACACCAUUUCCCUCGGGACCCGCUACAAGGUGCUGCAUGGUUGUCGUCAGCUCGUGCCGUGAGGUGUCGGGUUAAGUCCCAUAACGAGCGCAACCCCUAUCUUUAGUUGCUAACAGGUAACGCUGAGGACUCUAAAGAAACUGCCCGCGCAAGCGGUGAGGAAGGUGGGGAUGACGUCAAAUCAGCACGGCCCUUAUGUCCGGGGCUACACACGUGCUACAAUGGCCGGUACAGUGGGCAGCUCAUGCGCGAGCAUUUGCUAAUCUCUAAAACCGGUCUCAGUACGGAUCGGAGUCUGCAACCCGACUCCGUGAAGCUGGAUUCGCGUAGUAAUCGCACAUCAGCCA